rnacentral:tRNA from 1 species
GCGAUUGUGGUGUAAUGGUAGCGCACUCGGCCCGUAUUCGAGAGGUCUAGGUUCUAGUCUUGGCAUGCGCA